rnacentral:rRNA from 1 species
UACGUAGGGUGCGAGCGUUAAUCGGAUUUACUGGGCGUAAAGCGUGCGCAGGCGGCCCGUUAAGACAGGUGUGAAAUCCCUGGGCUCAACCUAGGAAUUGCGCUUGUGACUGGCGGGCUCGAGUACGGUAGAGGGGGGUGGAAUUCCUGGUGUAGCAGUGAAAUGCGCAGAGAUCAGGAGGAACACCGAUGGCGAAGGCAGCCCCCUGGGCCUGUACUGACGCUCAUGCACGAAAGCGUGGGGAGCAAACAGG